GCGGAGAUGAUCAGGCAGAGCGGCGGACAGCCCCCAAGGCCAGGUUUUUUUUCGGCCGCCGUUUGAAAAUGAGUUGGGCGCCGCUGCCCCCGCCGCAGCCUGGGAGCUGUUCUCGGUGAGCGGUCGCACCGGCUUUGUCCUCAGCCGAGAGUGAUGCUGCCGGGCCGGCGCGGGUGCGCCGCGCGGUUGGGGCGCCUGAAGCGGGGAUAAUUGGCGGCGAGGCGCCGGCCCCAGCAUGUCGCUGCCUCUGGAGAAAGCCUCUGAGCUGAAGCAGCUCAUCCACCAGCCGCUGAGCAGGUGCAGCAGCUGAGCGCUGGCCUGGGGUCCUUGGGCGCGGCCGACUAUGGCGCCUGUUUGCCGGGGUCUUGAGCAAAAGCUGUGAGCAGCCCACACAGGAUGGGCAAAGCUUCGGGUUUGAAGCCAGAGGAACUUUAGUCUCCAUGAAAGAGCAAGCGCAGAACGUGCUAGUAAGAGUCUGAGAUUUCUGGCUUCUCCGGGAAUUUACAUCUUGGACCUCCAUGGGGCAUCAAUCUGCUGGAGCUGAGUGGCCAUUUUCCCCUUCCGUUUCCCCAGUCUCCGUGGCUCCUUAUUGUCUAACACCUACUUUACUCACUUAGAUGACCUGCCUAACCCAGGAAGGAGCCGAGGAGUGGAAGACGACAUUGAGCAGCACCCAACAGGAGAUGACCGUGAUGGUGGACUCAAUGGACAAGAGUUAUGUCGAGCAAGGUGCAAACUGUGGCUAGACGUUCUGGUUCAUGGACACGCACAAUCUGAACGGGAGAGAUGACCACACGAUGGCCACUGAGAUGAGCACUUUGGUGCAUUCCCACACUUAGAAGAAUCACGAGCCGGCUGACGUGCGCUGACAGACUGGGAAGAUUCACCCCGCUAUCCAGGUGGUAGACCAGCGUCAACAUCACACAGAUGAAGUGUGUAGAGGGCUGCGGCUUAAAGGAGGGAUAUGAAGUGACCAUGAGCUUCGGGCCAGGGCUCCUUCUCAGCCCUCCGGGGCCUGAUGCCAGGGACUGUGCUCCCAGCUUAUUCAGCCAGCAGUGGGACCGCAUGAAGGCUGGCAGGAAAGGACCAGACAUUUCAUCCAUGGAUCCAUUUCCUUCCGGCUGUAAGACUUAUUACCUGGAAGCUAAAUCAGCGCUGAGCAAACGUCUGCUGCCAAUCCUCCUCUUUUUACUGAGGAAGAGUGGCCCUGAGCUAACAUCCGUGCCCAUCUUCCUCUACUUUAUAUGUGGGACACCUACCACAGCAUGGCUUGACAAGCGGUGCCAUGUCCGCACCUGGGAUCUGAACCAGCAAACCCCAGGCCGCCAGAGGGGACCGUGUGCACUUAACCACUGCAUCACCAAGCCGGCCCCAUAUAAUUGUGAUUUUAAUCCUAAUAAUUUUGUGGUAAUUACCUCAGAAAGAAACUGUCCACUUAAAACAAUUUUAGACCAACCAUGAUGUCAUGUGGUGGAGAUAAGACAGCAGUAAAGGGACUGGCUAGUGUCAUGGCUAUGGCAGUUGUUAUUGUCCUGCCAGCCCAGAGAGCGUGUUGCUGUGCUGGGAUCUAGCACGGACAGCUUUUGGGGGCAUUUCCAGGAGCAGUGAUGUUCUCUCACCAUAUUUAAAAUGGAGGGCCCACCCCUUUCACAGCCUCUGUCAUUAGCUAAUGCUGUUGGAAAGUCAUUCAAGAAAUGAAGAGAAUUAAUUGAUUUAAAGAAGUCUGAUUCAAAGAAGCACACCAGUACCUGAGUGUGUGUGUCUGUUGUGUGUGUGUGAGAGAGUGAGGCGGGGGGGGGGGGGGGGGGGGGGGGGGGGGGGGGGGGGGGGGGGGGUGUUGGGGGGUGGAGAGAGGG
ensembl:lncRNA